rnacentral:rRNA from 1 species
UGCAGCCUACGGGAGGCAGCAGUGGGGAAUAUUGCACAAUGGGGGAAACCCUGAUGCAGCAACGCCGCGUGAAGGAAGACGGUUUUCGGAUUGUAAACUUCUUCUCUUAGUGAAGAAGCAAGUGACGGUAGCUAAGGAAUAAGCAUCGGCUAACUACGUGCCAGCAGCCGCGGUAAUACGUAGGAUGCGAGCGUUAUCCGGAAUUACUGGGUGUAAAGGGAGCGCAGGCGGGACUGCAAGUUGGAUGUGAAAUACCGCAGCUUAACUGCGGCGCUGCCUCCAAAACUGCAGCUCUUGAGUGGAGG